ensembl:lncRNA
AGCGGGGGAGGCAUCUGGAUGCCCAGGACUUCCAUUAGAGGCCCAGGAUGGUGGCAUGGGUCGAUGUGGGAGGUGAGACCUUCUCUGGGACACACUAAUCAGCUCAAAGCCAAAGCCCAGGCAGGGAGGCGCUGGACAGCCUCAGGAGUUUGGCUUGUUGGAGCAGAGUGUAAAGUCCCUGGGGAGGAGCUCCUCUGGUGUUGGGGGCACUGCCUCGACCUCACUCAUGCCUGGUGUGGGUGGCAUCCAACAAGGGAGACACACAAUGGAGAGCAGGACUUGAAGAUGGUGAUGCUUCUGGUGGGCUCUCUCAGGACUCAGCCUUAUUCUCAGGGUCAUGCAUUCCAGCAAUCUCUGUAAUUAUAAGCAAGUGAGAAAAAAGUCGAGUCUUCUGCCUUUCUCAAAAUGAACGUGCCCCACUCCUCAAGGGAAACAUUCACAUCUCUGAGUUCUAGUAGCUGGACGGGUUUUAAUGAGUGUACUGUUAGAGCCAAAUGGACAGAGGUUGAAGAGGCCACAGGUCAAAAGGAACUGCUGAAGAAUCCCACCACCCGAGGACCAUGAAUUCCACUGGGGAACAUUUCACCCUGCUGAGAGGCAGAGUGAAAUCUGUGAUGCAGCAGCACACGCUCGCUCGCUGUGGUGCCUCGAUGUCUAGCUAAAAUCUACGGGAGAUGGGGGGGAAAAAAAUCUCUGCACAACUGCUCAGUUUUACUACAAAUACCGUGGCAAAAAAAAUAAAAAUGGAAAAAAAGACUGUGCUUUUGUGCAUUCGAUAGCAUUUCAAAGACUUCUAGUCCACAUAAUGACUUUUGGAAGCACAACACAAUAUUGGGGAUUGAUGUUUAUGCAAAUGGCUUCAUGUGAAGCUACAAUGCAGGCCUAUAAAACAAAAGAAAAUAGUUGAAUAUUGAAGGCACGUGCAGGUACAUGCAUGACCUUAUGCGCUGAAUAGAAAUUUCCUGGCUUGCGUUGUUUUCAUUGCAAACAUGUCAUCUUUUCUGUAUAACUUUGUUUGAUUCCCCUUUCCAUUCUCCUCAGAGAUGAGACUUGAAACAAAAAACAAAAACAAAAAAAAACAUUUGUGACGAUCUUCAUUGUGCCUAUUUGCUCCCAAAAUUUCCACAUGGUUCUCCUUUCCUUAUUUAUAAGGGUAUCCCUAAGAGGGAAGCCAUGUCAGACACGUUUUUUUUUUUUUUUUUGGAGCUUCUUGAGCAACAUUCCUCACAUGAGGUUUCUUCUACUUGAAGAAAAAAAACAACUUCUGAGGAAAAGUGUACUGUAACUUAGAGACUUAACAGUGCAAGCUCUGAG